GCUGGGCAUGGUGGCGCACACCUGUAAUCCCAGUGGCUGGGGAGGCUGAGGCAGGAAAAUCACAAGUUCAAAGCCAGCUUCAGCAAAAGCGAGGUGCUAAGCAACUCAGUGAGACCCUGUCUCUA
rnacentral:sRNA from 1 species